GCUGAGCAUGGUGGCACAUGCCUGUAAUCCCAGCUCCUUGGGAGGCUGAGGCAGGAGGAUCAUGAGUUCAAGCCAGCCUCAGCAAAGCAAGGCACUAAGCAACUCAGUAAGAUCCUGUCUCUA
rnacentral:sRNA from 1 species